CUUAUUACAGUAACCCGGCUCCUGAGUGCCUUAUUACCCUGUAACAUCUUAUUACAGUAACCCGGCUCCUGAGUGCCUUAUUACCCUGUAUUAUUAUUACCGUGUAACAUCUUAUUACAGUAACCCGACUCCUGAGCGCCUUAUUACAGUAACCCGGCUCCUGAGCGCCUUAUUACCCUGUAACAUCUUAUUACAGUAACCCGGCUCCUGACUGCCUUAUUACCCUGUAACGUCUUAUUACAGUAACCCGGCUCCUGAGCGCCUUAUUACCCUGUAACAUCUUAUUACAGUAACCCGGCUCCUGACUGCCUUAUUACCCUGUAACGUCUUAUUACAGUAACCCGGCUCC